rnacentral:lncRNA from 1 species
GGAGCGUUGGAUCUUGCCUCAUUAAUUGAUGUGGCAGAUCUAACAAUCAUAAGGCUAGGGUGCACGAUGGAAAUUAUUUAAAAUGAAACACAAGAUUGUAUUUAAGUUGAACCAAUCUGAACAUUUCAAAUGUCCAACAUGGAAGCAAACUCAGAUGACCUGAGAUAGAUGUUGGCCAUCUUCCCCGAUGAUCCCUCACUGGAGUUUCAUCAUUUGGUAAAUUCAGAACACGAGAC